rnacentral:lncRNA from 1 species
GAUGAUGGGUGGGGAGGCCCAGGAACAGAUGGUGGGGACAAAAUCUCCAUCCUUUGAAGAAGUUCCAACAGCUGGGACCAAAGUUCCAGAUCUAAAGCUGUCACUUUCUACAGCAAGGCUACUCCCAACUCAGAUGGUAACAUCGUAAAGCAAACCGUCCCUGAUGCAGUGGCUUUGUGUACGUUCCAGCUUGUCAUUCUACCUCAUCAGCCUCUGAGCACAAGUUGGCCUGACACCCGUCUCGCCAAAGCUGGUCUACAUUCUUCUCCAUCCCUGUCCUCCACCUUGCCUUUUUCCCUGAUGCCAACACUUGAAGAAUACUUGGGGGACAGCUCUGAACAGAGGUGUCACUACCACAAGGGCCGGAAGCAGAUACCACACAGGGUGCUCAGCUGGCUCGAAGGCUCUGCUUGUUUCAUCAGCUGGGGAAGCCUGCAACAGCCUGCGAAGUGUCACACACCAGCCGCCAGCAAAUCAACAGCCCCAAAACUCCUGGGAAACUCUCAGGGCACCACAAGAAGAGGCUGACGUCAACCUAGACGCUGGAGGACUUUGAACAAAACUUGAAAAACCAUUCCUUUGCCCUUUACUUGGUAACAUGAUAAAGAGAUCUUUCUCUGGGGAGAUGGGCCAAUUUACUUCAAGGGGUGCAUUUAAUUGAAAUAUGUAUAUUUAACAUAUAUA